CUUGUUAAGCACAAAUUUUGUAUUUACUAUAUACCUCAAACAUGCUUAUACUUUUUUAGAAUAUUAUGUACAAAAAAGUCAUUGCAAUAAAUCUCAAGUUAUUAAAGUCAGUUAACAAAUAAGUACUGACAAUUCAUUGACUGGAGUGGAAGAUGUUAGUGUCUUGAACCAACAUGAAACAAGUUAACUUAGCUGAGAAUGAUGGUAGUUUAAAAAUAAUGCAGCAUUGGCUAGGAUUGUUCCUAGGUCACAAAAACAAUCUUACAAAUAGAGUUUCUGCUGCUGUCACUGGUACCUUUGCGAAUAAAGAUAAAAAGUCAUUUAUGUUAUUUUUUAAAA
rnacentral:lncRNA from 1 species